UAUAUAGCCAAGCUAAGACGGGCAUACGAAGGAUGCCUUGGCAAGACCUGGCGACGAAGGGCGUGGCAAACUGCGAUAAGCUCCGGUGAGGUGUAAGCAACCUUUGACCCGGAGAUACCCGAAUGGGGCAACCUGUCUUGAAGCAAUUCAAGACAUCCUAUCAUGAAUACAUAGUGAUAGGAGGCGAACCAAGGGAAGUGAACCAUCUCAGUACCUUGAGGAAAAGAAAGAGAAUUCGAUUCCCCAAGUAGCGGCGAGCGAAACGGGAAGAGUCUAAACUGAAUGUAGGUAAUAGCAUAGGCGCGUUCUACAUUCAGGGUUAUAGGAUUCAUCACGAGAAAGCCUAUUUUCUCAUCAGGUCAAAAAUUUUCAAAUUAGUUGAAUGACAUGGAAAGGUCAACCACAGAAGGUAAAAGUCCUGUAAACGAAAAUUUGAAAAUACCUGAGAUGAAUUCCUAAGUACCACGGAGAAACCGGGAAACUUCGUGGGAAGUCACCCUGACCACAGGGUAAGACUAAAUACACGGUCUUGACCGAUAGUGAACUUAGUACUGCGAAGGAAAGGUGAAAAGAACCCCGAAAGGGGAGUGAAAUAGAACCUGAAAUCGUAUGCCUACAAGCAGUCGGAGUCUAGUAUAUAUUUUAUAUACUGGAUGACGGCGUGCCUAUUGAAGAAUGAGCUAGCGAGUUACUGGCUGUGGCAAGGUUAAUCCUUUUUAAAGGAGGAGCCGUAGCGAAAGCAAAUGGUCCUAACAGGGCCUAUUAGUCGCAGUCAGUAGACCCGAAGCUGAGCGAUCUACCCAUGGUCAGGAUGAACCUGUUAUAAAAAACAGGGGAGGUCCGAACCGGUGGCUGUUGCAAAAACCUCGGAUGAACUGUGGGUAGGAGUGAAAGGCUAAUCAAGCUCAGUGAUUGCUGGUUUUCCCCGAAAUGACUUUAGGAUCAGCCUCACCUUAAAAAUGAUAGGGGUAGAGCACUGAUGGGGCAAGGUCCGCCUUAGGCGGACCAAGUUCUUUCAAACUCCAAAUACUAUCAUUUGUUAGGUGGGAGUGAGACUGUGAGGGCUAAGCUUCAUAGUCAAAAGGGGUACAGCCCAGACCAUCAGAUAAGGUCCCUAAAUCCAACCUAAGUGGUAAAGGAAGUGGAGUUACAGAGACAACCAGGAGGUUGGCUUAGAAGCAGCCACCCUUUAAAGAAAGCGUAACAGCUCACUGGUCAAUGUGACUCUGCGCCGACAAUUCAACGGGGCUUAAGGUUGGUACCGAAUCUAUGGAACUAUUGUUUAGCAGUAGUUGGUAGGGGAACAUUCCCUGACAGCGAAGUUCUGACGUAAGUCAGGAUGGAGUUAAGGGAAGAGAGAAUGCUAGCAUAAGUAGCGAAAAUCCAGAUGGAAAUUCUGGACGCCGAAAGCCUAAGGUUUCCUGGGGAAGGUUCGUCCACCCAGGGUUAGGCGGGAUCUAAGCCGAGGCCGAAAGGCGUAGGUGAUGUAUAGCCGGUUAAUAUUCCGGCCCUACCUAAUAAACGUUAUCACCGAAGGGAGGACGAAGUAAAAUAGGGCAUCCGGUGAUUGGUUGUACCGGUUUAACUCUGUUAUGUUAUCUGUGGCAAAUCCAUAGAUACUAAAAACAUAACAGGGGAAUACGACUCUGAUUAAAAAUCAGGGGAAGUGUCUGAAUUUUACUUCCGAGAAAAGUCUCGUAGGGAGUUUAUUAGGUAUCCGUACUGCAAACCGACACAGGUAGGCUGGGGGAAUACCCUAAGGCGCGCGAAUGAGCUCUCGCUAAGGAACUCGGCAAAAUAACCCCGUAACUUCGGGAGAAGGGGUGCCUGAGUAAAGUGGGAUAUUUUAUCUUUACUUGAAAAGGCCGCAGUGAAAAGGCUCCUGCGACUGUUUACCAAAAACACAGGACUCUGCAAACUCGUAAGAGGAUGUAUAGGGUCUGACAAGUGCCCGGUACCGGAAGGUUAAGAGGAGGUGUUAUCUAUCGCAAGAUAGAGAAGCACUAAAUCUAAGCCCCGGCAAACGGCGGCCGUAACUAUUGUCUGGACCACAGUAGUUAUAAAAUCUGGCUAUAUGCUGGGAAAUCCUGUUAAGUUAGUAGUACUCCGAGACUAUAAUGAUAACUCGGAGUGACAAUCUACUAAAUAGGGAUAAUCAGCAGGAAAGACUUUUAAUCAAAGGAGGUCUUCCUAUGAGUAAGGUGCCGGAGAAGGUUGGUUAUUACUUAGCAGGCUUUGCCGAUGGAGAAGGGAGUUUUAAUAUUUCUUUUAGACCAAGACCAGAUUACCAAAUUCCAUGGAAAGUUUCUCUCUGUUUUAACAUUGCACAAAAAGACAGAGUGAUACUUUCUCUUUUUAAAAGGUAUCUUGAAUGUGGAACAAUAAGAAUGAGACCAGAUGGGGUUUGGUACUAUGAAGUAAAUAAUUUUAAUGCAAUCUGGGAGAAAGUAAUUCCCUUCUUCAAAAAAUAUCGUUUUCUCUCUGCAAAGAAAAAGAAAGA
rnacentral:rRNA from 1 species